CUCCCGGUGCAGCUAUGUCCGGCUUCCUCAAGUAAACCAACAUUGAAUGAGGUGAAACACGUUAUGUCAGCGUCAAUGAGAGCAGAGAAGAAAACCAACUUGCUCUUUUCGGACUUCAAAUGCAAAGUUCAUGCAGUUGACAGAAUCUGUGUCCCCACUUCAUAAUCCACUCUAAUGCAAGGGAUUGCGUGACACGAAUCAAGCUGGUUGUCACCAAACUGCGCGUAAAUGAGUCCAACCCCUCCUGCUUCAUUUAUAGCAUACGCUGCAGAAAUCAUAUCCUGUUGGUCUGACUUUGAGAAACAAAGCACAACUUUUCCGGCUGCUAAUGUUGCGUUGAGACUCCAAAAUUGACAAUCCAUUCUGGAGAAAACAUGAAAACAGAUCACAAUCAUACGUAUGUUGAGGUAAGAGGAAGACCUACAACUAGAAGUAGAAGAAGUCAGAAAAGUCUAACGAUGAAUCGUCUGUCAAGUCUAAAGCUAUGCGUUCAGAGUAUGUAAGGCCAGUGAAUCCGUGUACUUGUUUUUCAGUAUCAAGAGAUUGACCCUGCACCAAAACAAUGCCAUAGCAAGAAUGGUGAGGAAACUUCCUUUCUCACUGAUAUGAUAUUAGAGCAUGUAGUCUACCAUAAGAGUUUGGUUGUUUCCGAGUGUAAUAGCCAUUGGGAAGGCCCUAUCAAUGGUGGUUGCUGCCACAGUUAUGAGCCAGGGAGCAGUGUUAGCUAUUGUCUGUGAGAAAGGUCCAUCGUUUCCUCCUGCCACAACAACAGUGAUGCCCUUUGUGACCGCAUGGAAAGAACCAAUACCAACUGAAUCGCGUUGAUCAACGUAAGAAAACAAAGGCAUUUCGUUGCCAAGUGAAGCAGAUAUGAUGUCUACUCCAUCAUCUAUGGCUUUGUCGAAUGCCUUCAGUAUAUCAGCAUCUGUGCAUCCUCCAGUAUUAACGGCCCAACAAACCUUGUAAAUGGCCAAACGAGCAAGUGGUGCACCUCCUCUGGCUAUGCCUGAAGCUAGUCCUUUAUAGUUUGCUUUCUCCACAAACCUGCCAGCUGCUGUGGAAGCAGUAUGAGUUCCAUGACCCAUUUUAUCCCGCGGUGAGAGAAAUUCAAUGUCGUUAGUUAUGUUUAUGGGCAUCUUUGAUAUGUGCCUUAAACCCUUAAUGAACCAGCGAGCUCCGAUGAGUUUCUUAUUGCAAUUGCUGUCAUUGAAGUGCUUUCCGUGCUGGCAUGUUCCUUUCCAACGCGAUGGAAUUGGACCCAUUCCUUCAUCAUUGAAACUUUCAGACUCUGGCCACACUCCUACAGUAAAAAGUCACAGAUAUAUCCAAGUUUGAGAAAAGGUUUCUGAAUGAAGCUUGAGAUGUUAUGAGCUUAUUCAAUACCUGAAUCUAUCACACCAAUGAUUGUUCCAUCCCCAAAUUUCCCCUCCGUCAGAAGAUCAUUUCGAAAAUGGUGCUGGAGUCCAAGAAAAUCCCAGCUUCGAGUUGUAUGGAGCUUGUGGAUGCGAUUAGGAAACACUUGGACAACACCUGGAAAUUCUGAAAUUCAUAGGUUGACAAUCAUUAGAUGUACCUGAAACUAUGAAUUCAAUGUCAUUAGUAAAAGAAACCGCCAGGUCAUUUUUCUUUGCUAAUAGGUACCUGCAAUCUUUUCUGCUUGGGAUUUCGUUAGCCUAGCUGCAAACCCCGAAAAUCCAUGCUUAUAGCUGUAAAGAAUUGAAUCCCUGGCAGCUUCUUUACUUCAAUGUGAAUUGAGAGAAGUUUUAGUCAUUCUAUUAUUUAUAAAGAUGACAAAUUGAAUCUGCA